UACGUAGGGUGCAAGCGUUAUCCGGAAUUAUUGGGCGUAAAGAGCUCGUAGGCGGUUUGUCGCGUCUGCUGUGAAAACUGGGGGCUCAACCCCCAGCCUGCAGUGGGUACGGGCAGACUAGAGUGCGGUAGGGGAGAUUGGAAUUCCUGGUGUAGCGGUGGAAUGCGCAGAUAUCAGGAGGAACACCGAUGGCGAAGGCAGGUCUCUGGGCCAUUACUGACACUGAGAAGCGAAAGCAUGGGGAGCGAACAGG
rnacentral:rRNA from 1 species